AGCUGGUAAAUUGGAACCAAAUCAACUCCUCAAUGGAUUUGGUCCCCUUCAACCAGCUGU
rnacentral:pre_miRNA from 1 species